AGUUACAGUAGCGGUUCGUCAGAGGAAGAGGUGCCUUAUUGGGUUUACGCGGAUGCCACGUAUGGCAUCCCGGAGAAGUGCUUUUGUGGCCUGGUUGUGAAACUCAACCAAAAUGAAGCCGGACGGAAGUAUUAUUCCUGCCCUAAGUGGAUUGAUGAGGGCUCUUUUGACCACAUUCACUAAUGGUGGGAUCAUGCGGUCACAGAGCAGUGUGAAAUCCUCGCGACAAGGAUAGAGAACCAGCAUGCAAUGAUCGUGAGCGUUGAUCGGGGAAGGAUUCAAUCGGUAGAUCCAGCCAUAGGAGAGGUCUGUGAGGAGCAAGCAAGGCGUAAUGAAGAAGUUCUUGAACAGUUAACCAGGCUGGAAGGAGAAGUACGGUUUUUGAAGGACCGCAUUGGUGCUCAAGGUGAUACCUUAUCAAUGCUGUUAUUUUUUUGUGUGAUUGGACUGCUCGCAUAUAUCUGUAGGGUUUACGUUUCGGUUAGCAUUGAGUACUAAACUAUUUAACAUGGUCUCUUUUAAUCUUUUUUGCUGAGGAUCAUUUUGGACUCUACGUGGACAAGGGUUGGACUGCAUGGCAUACGGGCCUUCAUGGCAUAUGGUGCAAAGUGAAGGGUGUGUCAUAGCAAGUUGCUUUCCAAGAUGCGUCCGUGACCAUAUGCUCAACUUUGGAGGGGCCAGAUGCUUUUGUUGUUUUCCCUUGUAACCCCAAAUUUAGAAUCUUGUAAUAUGGACCAUAUAUUUGACCAACUAGCUUUGUAGCCACAGCUUCUAUC